UACAGAGGUCUCAACCGUUGUUCGGAUUCAUUGGGCGUAAAGGGUGCGUAGGCGGUCGUGCAAGUCGGAUGUGAAAUCUCAGGGCUCAACCCUGAAACUGCAUUCGAUACUGCGUGGCUAGAGUGCUGGAGAGGAGACUGGAAUUUACGGUGUAGCAGUGAAAUGCGUAGAUAUCGUAAGGAAGACCAGUGGCGAAGGCGAGUCUCUGGACAGCAACUGACGCUGAGGCACGAAGGCCAGGGGGAGCAAACGGG
rnacentral:rRNA from 1 species